rnacentral:rRNA from 1 species
GUGGGGAAUAUUGGACAAUGGGCGCAAGCCUGAUCCAGCCAUGCCGCGUGAGUGAUGAAGGCCUUAGGGUUGUAAAGCUCUUUCAGUGGGGACGAUAAUGACGGUACCCACAGAAGAAGCCCCGGCUAACUUCGUGCCAGCAGCCGCGGUAAUACGAAGGGGGCUAGCGUUGUUCGGAUUUACUGGGCGUAAAGCGCACGUAGGCGGAUCGUUAAGUCGGGGGUGAAAUCCUGGAGCUCAACUCCAGCACUGCCUUCGAUACUGGCGAUCUUGAGUCCGGAAGAGGUGAGUGGAACUCAUAGUGUAGAGGUGGAAUUCGUAGAUAUUAGGAAGAACACCAGUGGCGAAGGCGGCUCACUGGUCCGGUACUGACGCUGAGGUGCGAAAGCGUGGGGAGCAAACAGGAUUAGAAACCCUUGUAGUCC